AAGGACUUAAGUUAAAGUAAACUAAUAACCUUCAAAGUUAUAAAUAAAAUCAAUUUUUAGGCCUUA
rnacentral:tRNA from 1 species